GGUCAAGUUAUUAAGGGCACAUGGUGGAUGCCUUGGCAUCAGGAGCCGAUGAAGGACGUGGGAGGCUGCGAUAUGCCUCGGGGAGCUGUCAACCGAGCUGUGAUCCGAGGAUUUCCGAAUGGGGAAACCCGGCACCCGUUAUGGGGUGUCACCUGCACCUGAAUAUAUAGGGUGUGUGGAGGGAACGCGGGGAAGUGAAACAUCUCAGUACCCGUAGGAAGAGAAAACAACCGUGAUUCCGUGAGUAGUGGCGAGCGAAAGCGGAUGAGGCUAAACCUACUGCGUGUGAUACCUGACAGGGGUUGCGUAGUGGGGGUCGUGGGACCCACUGGCUAGGGCUGUCAACCUGGCGGAGAGUCAUAAAACGUUGUUGCUAGUUGAACUGGUUUGGAAAACCGGACCGUAGAGGGUGAAAGUCCCGUAAGCGAAAGCGCGACGUCUCUUUUGGUGGUGUUCCCGAGUAGCAGCGAGCUCGUGGAAUUUGCUGUGAAUUUGGCGGGACCACCCGUUAAGCCUAAAUACUUCCUGGUGACCGAUAGCGGACUAGUACCGUGAGGGAAAGGUGAAAAGUACCCCGGGAGGGGAGUGAAAGAGUACCUGAAACCGUGUGCCUACAAGCCGUCAGAGCCUUGUGGGGUGAUGGCGUGCCUUUUGAAGAAUGAGCCUGCGAGUUAGUGCUGCGUGGCGAGGUUAACCCGUGUGGGGUAGCCGUAGCGAAAGCGAGUCUGAAUAGGGCGUUGAGUCGCGUGGUCUAGACCCGAAGCGGAGUGAUCUACCCAUGGCCAGGGUGAAGCGCCGGUAAGACGGUGUGGAGGCCCGAACCCACCAGGGUUGAAAACCUGGGGGAUGAGCUGUGGGUAGGGGUGAAAGGCCAAUCAAACUCCGUGAUAGCUGGUUCUCCCCGAAAUGCAUUUAGGUGCAGCGUCGUGUGUUUCUCGUCGGGGGUAGAGCACUGGAUGGUCUAGGGGGCCUACAAGCUUACCAAAAUCAACCAAACUCCGAAUACCGAUGAGUGAGAGCGCGGCAGUGAGACUGUGGGGGAUAAGCUUCAUAGUCGAGAGGGAAACAGCCCAGAACACCAGCUAAGGCCCCUAAGUGUGCGCUAAGUGGGAAAGGAUGUGGGGUCGCCCAGACAACCAGGAGGUUGGCUUAGAAGCAGCCAUCCUUGAAAGAGUGCGUAAUAGCUCACUGGUCAAGUGGUCCUGCGCCGACAAUGUAGCGGGGCUUAAGCGUACCGCCGAAGCUGUGUCAUUCACACAUAUACAUCCACUUCCAUCUUCGGAUGGUUGUGUAGUGGUGUGGAUGGGUAGGGGAGCGUCCUGCACCCCUGGAAGCGGCGACGUAAGUCAGCCGUGGAGGGUGUGGGAGUGAGAAUGCAGGCAUGAGUAGCGAAAGCAGAGUGAGAACCUCUGCCGCCGGAUGACCAAGGGUUCCUGGGCCAGGCUAAUCCGCCCAGGGUAAGUCGGGACCUAAGGCGAGGCCGACAGGCGUAGUCGAUGGACAACGGGUUGAUAUUCCCGUACCCGCGUGAACGCGCCCAUGAUGAGGCGGUUGAUGCUAACCACCCAAAGCGGUGUUUGGAGCCUUCGGGCGAAAAGCAUUGUGGAGCGUGGGACCCGAUUCCGUAUUAGUCAAGCGAUGGGGUGACGCAGGAAGGUAGUUCCGCCAGUGAGUGGAUGUACUGGUGUAAGCGUGUAGG
rfam:Kibdelosporangium aridum strain DSM 43828 genome assembly, contig: LX79DRAFT_scaffold00038.38